AUUGAACGCUGGCGGCAGGCCUAACACAUGCAAUUCGGGCGAGCGGCGGACGGGUGAGAAAUGUAUGGGGAUCUGCCUGAUGGAGGGGGAUAACUACUGGAAACGGUAGCUAAUACCGCAUACCAUCAGAUGAACCCAUAUGGGAUUAGCUUGUAGGUGAGGUAACGGCUCACCUAGGCGACGAUCACUAGCUGGUCUGAGAGGAUGAUCAGCCACACUGGGACUGAGGCAAGGCCCGGACACCUACGGGGGGCAGCAGUGGGGAAUAUUGCAAAAAGGGGUCAAGCCUGAUGCAGCCCUGCGGCGUGUAGGAAGAAGGACUUCGAGUUGUAAAGUACUUUCAGUCGGGAGGCGUUGCCGACAGAAGAAGCGCCGGCUAACUCCGUGCCAGCAGCCGCGGAAAUUC
rnacentral:rRNA from 1 species